rnacentral:rRNA from 1 species
UACAGAGGUCUCAAGCGUUGUUCGGAUUCAUUGGGCGUAAAGGGUGCGUAGGCGGCGGGGCAAGUCGGAUGUGAAAUCUCAGGGCUCAACCCUGAAACUGCAUUCGAUACUGCUCUGCUCGAGGACUGGAGAGGAGAUUGGAAUUCACGGUGUAGCAGUGAAAUGCGUAGAUAUCGUGAGGAAGACCAGUGGCGAGGGCGGAUCUCUGGACAGUUCCUGACGCUGAGGCACGAAGGCCAGGGGAGCAAACGGG